rnacentral:rRNA from 1 species
UACGUAGGGUGCAAGCGUUGUCCGGAAUUAUUGGGCGUAAAGAGCUCGUAGGCGGUCUGUCGCGUCUGCUGUGAAAACUCAGGGCUUAACCCUGAGCUUGCAGUGGGUACGGGCAGACUAGAGUGCGGUAGGGGAGACUGGAAUUCCUGGUGUAGCGGUGAAAUGCGCAGAUAUCAGGAGGAACACCAAUGGCGAAGGCAGCUCGCUGGGACGGUACUGACGACUGGAGAACGCGAAAGCGUGGGGAGCAAACAGG